CACGGGGGGAGCGAACGUUGUUCGGAAUCACUGGGCGUAAAGGGCGUGUAGGCGGUUCGGUAAGUGGAAUGUGAAAUCCCCCGGCUUACCCGGGGAACUGCAUCCCAUACUGCUGGACUUGAGUGCGGGAGAGGAUGGAGGAAUUCCUGGUGUAGCGGUGAAAUGCGUAGAUAUCAGGAGGAACACCUGUGGCGAAGGCGGCUCACUGGACCGGCAUUGACGCUGAUGUGCGAAAGCGUGGGGAGCAAACAGG
rnacentral:rRNA from 1 species